GACGUAGGGCGCAAGCGUUGUCCGGAUUUAUUGGGCGUAAAGAGCUCGUAGGCGGCUUGUUGCGUCGACCGUGAAAACCCGGGGCUCAACCCCGGGCCUGCAUUCGAUACGGGCAGACUAGAGUUCGGUAGGGGAGUCUGGAAUUCCUGGUGUAGCGGUGAAAUGCGCAGAUAUCAGGAGGAACACCGGUGGCGAAGGCGGGACUCUGGGCCGAUACUGACGCUGAGGAGCGAAAGCGUGGGGAGCAAACAGG
rnacentral:rRNA from 1 species